rnacentral:rRNA from 1 species
CGUCAAGUCCUCAUGGCCUUUAUGACCAGGGCUACACACGUGCUACAAUGGCCGGUACAAAGGGUCGCGAAGCCGCGAGGUGGAGCCAAUCCCAAAAAACCGGUCUCAGUUCGGAUUGGAGUCUGCAACUCGACUCCAUGAAGUCGGAAUCGCUAGUAAUCGCGGAUCAGAACGCCGCGGUGAAUACGUUCCCGGGCCUU